rnacentral:lncRNA from 1 species
GGUUUGCAUAAAUAAAAAAAUUCAUGGAGCAGGUUCCUGUACUAAGGCUGCUUGGAAAAUUCAUGGACUUUUUUGGGAAAGCAAUCUUUUUUUUUUCUAAAUAAGGAGAAAAUACCAGAAUGAUUAAUCCAGCAGGGCAUCUUCAUGACAGGUUUGGAACCCAAGCUACAGAAUCAGUUCCUAGUUCUACCCUUGGACAGUUAUGGGACGGAUCCAGACCAGGAGCCUACAUUUCACUAACUUGUCAGGACUCCCGUCUCUCCUCCAGCCUGCGACAGCUCCUCCGUCUUCUUUUGUCUUUUCUAACCUUGAUACUUUUGACGAGUACUGGCCAGCUGUUUCGCAGGAUUUUCCUCCAGCUGAGUUGGCUUGAGGUUUUCUCUGAUUGGAUCACAGUUACCGGUUUUCGGAGGAACAGCACAGAGGUGAACGGUCUCACUUAUCACUCCACAUCAAAGCAGGCAUGACACCCACGUGACUCAUUCCUAGGAGGCUGACCUUCACCUUUUGGUCUGGGCGACAUCUGCCAGGUUUUUCCACUGUCUAGUGACUAUUUUUUUCUUUUCCUUUUUUUAUGUUUGUGAAAGUCCUGCCCACACUCAAGGGGCGGGAAAUGAAACUACACCCCCUGGUGUAAUUUGUGAGGUACAUUAAAACCACCCUAGUAAUAGGAAAUGCUCACAUUAUGCUUUUGGUCAUUGUUAUUGAGCUAGUUAUGAGGCUUCUUUUUCCCUCUGUGGGAAGAUGACAUUUUCACCCGUAAUACCUUGUCACCCGUACCACUUUGGCAGUCUCAGUGAAGAUACCUGCACCCUCUGGGUGAGGGGCUUCUGACUAGUGCCAUGGAUGCUUGCUCUACAGAGACCAGAGAAGACUCCAGUUAGGGAGAGCGGACUCGCUACGCUCAGGUGCCGCCCCUCUGUCUCCCAGCCUCUCUAAAAUGACAAGAAAGGGACAAAAGCCUUAUUAACUUAUAGAGUGAAAGACAGCAGGGAUAACCAAGGGUAAAGCAUCACAACACAUUUUGUAAGUGCCUCAUCUGAGCAGAUCCUGACCAGGAGUGUCCCCUCUCCUGCCACCCACUGGAAGGUGCAAGCAGACGGAGGUGGACAAAGCCCUGGGCUCAUGGCAGGGCCCCUGCAGUAUCUGCCUGGAGGACCUCAGGCACCACAGUUCCCUCUCCCAUUCUGUAUGCCCUGUGGCUACUCUGGACACAGUCCCCAUAGGAGGUGGUAGUUGACUGGGGAUGCCAUAACAAAGUGCCACACACUAGGUGACUUAGAACAAUAGCAAUGGAGUGUUUUACAGUUCUGGAGGCCAGAAAUCCAAGAUCCAGGUGUUGGCAGGGCCCCACUCCCCGUGAAGGCACCAGGACUCUCUCUGCCCAAGGCCUCUCUCCUACCUUCUGUUAGUUCCUUGGCUUGUGGCAGCAGAGCUCCAAUCCUUACAUGGCAUUCUCUACGUGUACGAAUGCAUCUAUGUCCAAAUUUCCCCUUUACAUAAGGAUAUGAAUCAUACUGGAUUGGGGCCCACCCUUGCAAUCCUAUCUUAAAUAAUUACCUUUGUAACAGCUCUAUCUCCAGAUCUACACACACACUCGGAGGGACUUGGGGGUUAGGAUUUCAACCUGUGAAUUUUGGAGGGAACGUAAUUCAACCUAUAACUAGGUGGGAUGUUUACUUGCUGAAGGAACAGACAGUCCCACUAGGCUGGGAAUGGUAGACCCAGAGAGGGCUGGAGGGGAGCUUUGGGGCUAAAAAGACAGAUUACAUGCAAGCCAGCCUCCUGAACCUGGGACCCUCAGCUCUUCUUCCCACUCUGCUUCCACAGGUCUACCCUGCCCUCACCUGGGGAGAAGUGUGGAGGACUCCUCCUUGGAGAAAGUGAAAAACUCCCAGAGAAAACAUUGGCAGGAAUUGGCAUUGGAUGGGUCCUGGCUUGAGACUAGCUCCCAUUGCAUCAGUCUGCAAGCCCUCUGCUAUUUCUACCUCCCCACCCAAACUCCAAUCCACACUUACUUUAAUGUCCCAUUCUGCAAUGUGAGUGGGCAGCGGAAGGUCACCAGAAGCUGUAGAGAAAGUCUUUACAUGAAAGACAGACACUAAGGGGUAAAAUCGCAAAGCAGGUAUGCAAAAGAAACAAAAAU